rnacentral:rRNA from 1 species
GACGAACGCUGGCGGCGUGCUUAACACAUGCAAGUCGAACGGAAAGGCCCUGCUUUUGUGGGGUGCUCGAGUGGCGAACGGGUGAGUAACACGUGAGUAACCUGCCCUUGACUUUGGGAUAACUUCAGGAAACUGGGGCUAAUACCUGAUAGGAGCUCCUGCUGCAUGGUGGGGGUUGGAAAGUUUCGGCGGUUGGGGAUGGACUCGCGGCUUAUCAGCUUGUUGGUGGGGUAGUGGCUUACCAAGGCUUUGACGGGUAGCCGGCCUGAGAGGGUGACCGGCCACAUUGGGACUGAGAUACGGCCCAGACUCCUACGGGAGGCAGCAGUGGGGAAUAUGGCACAAUGGGCGGAAGCCUGAUGCAGCAACGCCGCGUGCGGGAUGACGGCCUUCGGGUUGUAAACCGCUUUCGCCUGUGACGAAGCGUGAGUGACGGUAAUGGGUAAAGAAGCACCGGCUAACUACGUG